rnacentral:rRNA from 1 species
UACGUAGGGUGCGAGCGUUAAUCGGAAUUACUGGGCGUAAAGCGUGCGCAGGCGGUCUGUUAAGACCGAUGUGAAAUCCCCCGGGCUUAACCUGGGAACUGCAUUGGUGACUGGCAGGCUUUGAGUGUGGCAGAGGGAGGUAGAAUUCCACGUGUAGCAGUGAAAUGCGUAGAGAUGUGGAGGAAUACCGAUGGCGAAGGCAGCCUCCUGGGCCAACACUGACUCAUGCACGAAAGCGUGGGGAGCAAACAGG